rnacentral:rRNA from 1 species
UACGUAGGGGGCAAGCGUUGUCCGGAUUUAUUGGGCGUAAAGAGCGUGUAGGCGGCUUUACAGGUCCGUUGUGAAAACUCGAGGCUCAACCUCGAGACGCCGGUGGAAACCGUAAAGCUAGAGUCCGGAAGAGGAGAGUGGAAUUCCUGGUGUAGCGGUGAAAUGCGCAGAUAUGAGGAGGAACACCCGUGGCGAAAGCGGCUCUCUGGGACGGUACUGACGCUGAGACGCGAAAGCGUGGGGAGCAAACAGG